CGUGCGUCGUGAUCGAAUAAUUCUUCCUUUCCGGUUCGAGGUCUUGUGCUGAUAAGACGUGUAGAAAACUGCGCCAUUCGAGCAGGCGAUCGUUUCGUCGCCAAGAUUUUCCGGCUGUUGUCCUCAACCGAAUUUUCAGCUUGAACAACCACCUAUCAUCUACUCGACAUAUUUGGUUCGGGGACUUUUGGUACAUUUUAGGACCGUCCGGGAAAAAUUUUAUGUCAAAUGGUAGAUUCCAGGACGUCCCGGAAUGUAUCAUUUUGAGCUAUUGGCAUGUUUCAGGACGCUAUGUAUGUACAUAAUGAAUGUACGUAUAUAAAUAUAAAGUAUUGGUACAUGCCAGGACAUUUCUGUAUUGUGGUAUUUUCCAGGACGUCCGGGAUUAUACCAUUUUAGGCUACUGGCACUUUUUAAGACAUUAUGUACGUAUAUCACGAAUGUAUGUACAUUUUAUAUAUAUACAUGCAAUGUAUUGACAGAUUCCAGGACUUUAUAUGCUCCGGUAUUUUCCAAGACGUCCUGAAAUAUAUCAUUUUGAGCUUGUCAUUUUAUUUUUAAAAUAGUAGA